UAUAAUUCCAUUUUAAAAGUAGGGAUAUUAAUACCUUACUAGUAGGUUCUAAUAACAUGUGAGACAGCGCUUUGAGCACUGUUAAGUCCGAUAGAAAUAUUAACAAAUGAUCUCUUCUUGAGACUGUGAAGGACUCGGGUCAGCUUGUCAAUUCCUGGCAAUUGCCCACAAAUAUAAAUGUAAACAUGUACACAGUUUGUACAAGAAAAUAAAAUAAGGGUAGUUUAAAAA